rnacentral:lncRNA from 1 species
UCUUUCAAGUUUGUUCAGCAGUUCCAUUUGCCAAUACAAAGGACAUCUGGAAGUUGUAUGUUAUCUCUUAUUACAGAUUGGUAAAUAUCAUCCAGGGCUUUUCUGCCUUAAAGGCAGUCUGCCAGCUGUUUGAAGAGAUCGAAUCUCAUUUAGAGGAAGGAAAGCACAGAAGACGGAGGAUAACUGCAUGGUUUUGAGGCUGGGAAAUUGAAGAUCAAGGUGCCAGCAGGUUCAGUGUCAAAAGGGGUCAAAGGGCAAAAGGGGAUGAAUACUGUGUCUUCACAUGGCAGAAGAGAAGAUGAGAGGGAAUCCACUCCCUGAAGCCCUUUUGUAAGUGCCCUAGUACUUGGCACUUGUAAUCUAUGGCUCUGCCCUCAUCACUUAAUUACUUCCUCAAAGGCUCUACCUCUUAAUACACAAGAAUAGGGAUUAAGUUUCAAAAAUCCUCAUUUCAAAAAUAUGAAAUUUGGGGGAUAUUGAGCUCACAGUAGAGGAUUUCUUUUCCCUCUCCUCUCCCCUUCCCUCCCCUCCAUUCCUCGUUUGAGGCAAAGUUUUGCUCUUGUUACCCAGGUUGGAGUGCAAUGGUGCGAUCUCGGCUCACUGCAACCUCUGCCUCCUGGGUUCAAGUGAUUCUCCUGCCUCAACCUCCUGAGUAGCUGGGAUUAUAGGCAGGCACCACCACUUUCAGCUA